UGGGGAUAUUGCACAAUGGGGGGAAACCCUGAUGCAGCGACGCCGCGUGGAGGAAGAAGGUUUUCGGAUUGUAAACUCCUGUCGUUAGGGACGAUAAUGACGGUACCUGACUAAGAAGCCCCGGCUAACUACGUGCCAGCAGCCGCGGUAAUACGUAGGGGGCAAGCGUUAUCCGGAUUUACUGGGUGUAAAGGGAGCGCAGGCGGUCCUGCAAGUCUGAUGUGAAAGCCCGGGGCUCAACCCCGGGACUGCAUUGGAAACUGUGGGACUUGAGUGUCGGAGGGGCAAGUGGAAUUCCUAGUGUAGCGGUGAAAUGCGUAGAUAUUAGGAGGAACACCAGUGGCGAAGGCGGCUUGCUGGACGACAACUGACGCUGAGGCUCGAAAGCGUGGGGAGCAAACAGGAUUAGAUACCCUGGUAGU
rnacentral:rRNA from 1 species